rnacentral:rRNA from 1 species
ACGCUGGCGGCGUGCCUAAUACAUGCAAGUAGAACGCUGAAGGAGGAGCUUGCUUCUCUGGAUGAGUUGCGAACGGGUGAGUAACGCGUAGGUAACCUGCCUGGUAGCGGGGGAUAACUAUUGGAAACGAUAGCUAAUACCGCAUAACAGUAGAUGUUGCAUGACAUUUGCUUAAAAGGUGCAAUUGCAUCACUACCAGAUGGACCUGCGUUGUAUUAGCUAGUUGGUGGGGUAACGGCUCACCAAGGCGACGAUACAUAGCCGACCUGAGAGGGUGAUCGGCCACACUGGGACUGAGACACGGCCCAGACUCCUACGGGAGGCAGCAGUAGGGAAUCUUCGGCAAUGGACGGAAGUCUGACCGAGCAACGCCGCGUGAGUGAAGAAGGUUUUCGGAUCGUAAAGCUCUGUUGUAAGAGAAGAACAGGUGUGAGAGUGGAAAGUUCACACUGUGACGGUAUCUUACCAGAAAGGGACGGCUAACGACGUGCCAGCAGCCGCGGUAAUACGUAGGUCCCGAGCGUUGUCCGGAUUUAUUGGGCGUAAAGCGAGCGCAGGCGGUUAGAUAAGUCUGAAGUUAAAGGCUGUGGCUUAACCAUAGUACGCUUUGGAAACUGUUUAACUUGAGUGCAAGAGGGGAGAGUGGAAUUCCAUGUGUAGCGGUGAAAUGCGUAGAUAUAUGGAGGAACACCGGUGGCGAAAGCGGCUCUCUGGCUUGUAACUGACGCUGAGGCUCGAAAGCGUGGGGAGCAAACAGGAUUAGAUACCCCUGGUAGUCCACGCCGUAAACGAUGAGUGCUAGGUGUUAGACCCUUUCCGGGGUUUAGUGCCGCAGCUAACGCAUUAAGCACUCCGCCUGGGGAGUACGACCGCAAGGUUGAAACUCAAAGGAAUUGA